rnacentral:rRNA from 1 species
UGCCUAAUACAUGCAAGUCGAGCGAGCUUGCCUAGAUGAUUUUAGUGCUUGCACUAAAUGAAACUAGAUACAAGCGAGCGGCGGACGGGUGAGUAACACGUGGGUAACCUGCCCAAGAGACUGGGAUAACACCUGGAAACAGAUGCUAAUACCGGAUAACAACACUAGACGCAUGUCUAGAGUUUGAAAGAUGGUUCUGCUAUCACUCUUGGAUGGACCUGCGGUGCAUUAGCUAGUUGGUAAGGUAACGGCUUACCAAGGCAAUGAUGCAUAGCCGAGUUGAGAGACUGAUCGGCCACAUUGGGACUGAGACACGGCCCAAACUCCUACGGGAGGCAGCAGUAGGGAAUCUUCCACAAUGGACGAAAGUCUGAUGGAGCAACGCCGCGUGAGUGAAGAAGGGUUUCGGCUCGUAAAGCUCUGUUGGUAGUGAAGAAAGAUAGAGGUAGUAACUGGCCUUUAUUUGACGGUAAUUACUUAGAAAGUCACGGCUAACUACGUGCCAGCAGCCGCGGUAAUACGUAGGUGGCAAGCGUUGUCCGGAUUUAUUGGGCGUAAAGCGAGUGCAGGCGGUUCAAUAAGUCUGAUGUGAAAGCCUUCGGCUCAACCGGAGAAUUGCAUCAGAAACUGUUGAACUUGAGUGCAGAAGAGGAGAGUGGAACUCCAUGUGUAGCGGUGGAAUGCGUAGAUAUAUGGAAGAACACCAGUGGCGAAGGCGGCUCUCUGGUCUGCAACUGACGCUGAGGCUCGAAAGCAUGGGUAGCGAACAGGAUUAGAUACCCUGGUAGUCCAUGCCGUAAACGAUGA